AAUUGUGACAGAGAAGAUUAAAUAAUAAAAUUUAACUGUCUAUAUACAUAUAAGGUACCAUUGUAUGGAAAAGGGUAAACUUAGUUAAUGAUCUGUCAUAUCAGAAAUUAUGGCAGGAAUUGCAGACGCUAAGUCUGGACAAAACUUUAAGAAACCCUUUGAAAUCUGAAUUAUGACCACUAUCUAGAUAGGCCAAAAUGACGUCAAAAUAGCCACCAGGACAAGAAUGCC